GAUGAACGCUGGCGGCGUGCCUAAUACAUGCAAGUCGAGCGAACGGACGAGAAGCUUGCUUCUCUGAUGUUAGCGGCGGACGGGUGAGUAACACGUGGAUAACCUACCUAUAAGACUGGGAUAACUUCGGGAAACCGGAGCUAAUACCGGAUAAUAUUUUGAACCGCAUGGUUCAAAAGUGAAAGACGGCCUUGCUGUCACUUAUAGAUGGAUCCGCGCUGCAUUAGCUAGUUGGUAAGGUAACGGCUUACCAAGGCAACGAUGCAUAGCCGACCUGAGAGGGUGAUCGGCCACACUGGAACUGAGACACGGUCCAGACUCCUACGGGAGGCAGCAGUAGGGAAUCUUCCGCAAUGGGCGAAAGCCUGACGGAGCAACGCCGCGUGAGUGAUGAAGGUCUUCGGAUCGUAAAACUCUGUUAUUAGGGAAGAACAUAUGUGUAAGUAACUGUGCACAUCUUGACGGUACCUAGUCAGAAAGCCACGGCUAACUACGUG
rnacentral:rRNA from 1 species